AAUAACCGAAGAUAAUUUUUGGAUCCAGAGUAGGAUUAUCAAUUAAACGCACUUCUGCAAUAUUCGCAUCAUAAAUUCCCCCAAAGAACAUUGCCUUUGCAACUAAGAGCAAUGCUCCAAACCCUAAAAUGAUUAAGUGAUGACCCAAGAUAAAGCCUAACUUCUUCGGGUCGUACCA
rnacentral:antisense_RNA from 1 species